rnacentral:rRNA from 1 species
AUGAGAUGCUGGAACCGUCUAGUCAAAGAGCUUCCACCGGCGAAAAGGAAAACUAGUGCCGAGGCAGCUGCUACAACCCGGCGAAGACAGAGUACUGCCGAGGAAGCUUCGACCGGCGUCACAAAAAGCAUCAACCACGACGACAUAUGCCUGGGCUGGCUACUGCCAAUACCAAAAAAGCUACAACUGCAUUGCAAAGAGCUACAACCGACGUCACAAAAAGCUCCAACCACGGUAAUGGAUGCUAGGCCUGGCCACUGCCACAUGAAAAAGCUGCAAGGGACGAGGAAGAAAACUACAACCGGUGUCGCAAAAAGCUACAACCAACGACAACGGAAAGCUAUGGCUGGGCGUCGACGAAAGCUGCAAGCGUCCAUAAGAAAGCUUCAACCGGUGAACGAGGGAGCUACAUCCACGCCCUGGGGAUGCUAG